rnacentral:misc_RNA from 1 species
AUGAGAUUCGACAAGUUCUUGGUAUAUCGUGCUUUAUAUCUUUGCUAUUUGUAUUUUAUUUUGGGAAAGAUUGGGGGGAAGGGGUUCAUAUUCUUAAGCGAUGUAUUUGAUUUUGCAUUAUAUCAUGUUGCUGCAAGUAAAUGGAGUAUUUAGUAAAACUGCUGAUCAGGUUUUAAUUUUGAAUAUGCAGAUAAAUGUGGAUAUGACGUGCAA